GACGAACGCUGGCGGCGUGCUUAACACAUGCAAGUCGAACGGUGAAGCGCCUUCCUUUUUGGUGGGUGUGGAUGAGUGGCGAACGGGUGAGUAACACGUGAGUAACCUGCCCCCUUCUUCUGGAUAACCGCAUGAAAGUGUGGCUAAUACGGGAUAUUCUGGGUCUGUCGCAUGAUGGGUCUGGGAAAGAUAUUGUUUCGGUGGGGGAUGGGCUCGCGGCCUAUCAGCUUGUUGGUGGGGUGAUGGCCUACCAAGGCGGUGACGGGUAGCCGGCCUGAGAGGGUGGACGGUCACACUGGGACGGAGACACGACCCAGACUCCUACGGGAGGCAGCAGUGGGGAAUAUUGCACAAUGGGCGCAAGCCUGAUGCAGCGACGCCGCGUGAGGGAUGGAGGCCUUCGGGUUGUGAACCUCUUUCGCCAGUGAAGCAGGCCUGCCUCGUUUGUGGGUGGGUUGACGGUAGCUGGAGAAGAAGCGCCGGCUAACUACGUG
rnacentral:rRNA from 1 species